UACUUGGAUAACUGUGGUAAUUC
rnacentral:piRNA from 5 species